GAUGAAGAACGCAGCGAAAUGCGAUAAGUAGUGUGAAUUGCAGAAUUCAGUGAAUCAUCGAAUCUUUGAACGCACAUUGCGCCCGCCAGUAUUCUGGCGGGCAUGCCUGUCCGAGCGUCAUUUCAACCCUCGCGCCCAUCUGGGCUGCGGUGUUGGGGACCGGCCUGCCCCCCCGGGGCGCGCCGCCCCCCAAAUUCAGUGGCGGUCUCGCUGCAGCCUCCCUUGCGUAGUAGCACACCUCGCACCGGAGCGCAGCGCGGCCACGCCGUAAAACCCCCGACCCCCAUGAGUUUGACCUCGGAUCAGGUAGGAAUACCCGAUGAACUUAAGCAUAUCAAUAAGCGGAGGA
rnacentral:misc_RNA from 1 species